CUUCAAAGGCCAACUACUUUGAAAGAGGUAUGGAAUUUAUUCCCAGUGUUUUGUGUUGUAUAAAUGAAAGCCUGUGUCUGAUACUGUGUAGAUGAGAGUAGAAUUGGGAACUUUGUGGCUGAGAUAAGAGGAGAUGAUAACAAACGUAAUGUUACUGCUGCAUCAGGGAGGCCUGGAGACUCAUCCUGAGCUCAGGAAAAGCAGAACAAAACACACAAACAGUUUUCUAUCUGACAGUGAGAAAAUAAGAAUACUGAUCUAUGUAGCAUGCAGAGCAGCCUCAGAGGAAGAGUGACCCAUUGCUCAGGACACAAACCCAGCACUGGGAUUACUGCUUUGAUGUUGAAGCCAGAUGAUCCAGACUUCCUGUGUGACCAUGAACACCAGGGCUGAAUUCGACUACUUUAAUCUUAUUCAUCCCCUAGCCCAUUUACUUCAGAAGCUGAGACUCUGCAACAAACACAUGAUGAAAGGGGAAAGAAAACUCAAAACUUCUAUGCUUCUAUCCAGAGGAAUUCUUGCAAAGAAAGAUAAAUCCACUUGGGAAUAAAUGACUACCUGUGCAAUGCUUGAUAUGUAAAGGUUCGUAUGGAUGUAUUCAUCACGCAUUCCAAUGUGAAUAACGAGCAGUAUUAUGAAAUAGGAAAUGAAAGUCCACAGGAACCCAUGGUCCUGGGUUUCUUGUAAACCCUCUGCCUGAUGAGCUGUGCAGGACAGAUGGCUGCGGUGAGCCACCUGGGAACCAGUACUCCCCAACAGUCUGCAGGUAAGAGUGGCACCAUCAUAAGAGAGCUCUCACGUUCACCAAGGGCUCGUGGAAGAGGGAGGACAGCAAGGAGAAGGCACAACAGACAGCUUUCCCCAAGAGAGAGCAGCAGGGCUGGUGGGAGGACAGCACAAUUGCACAAAGCGAUGAGCAGGGAUGGAGGUUUGGUAGAACAAACUCAUUUUGCUUACAUGUCAGAGGAGGUGUGAGGUGUUCCCGGAGGAAUCAGAUUUUAUGCAAAAGUUGCUGAACUUUCCAUCUUAUGCUCUGAAGUGAGCAAUUUGCCUCAGGGCUACUCUGGAAAAUUUAUCCUGGAACUCUUUAAACAGAUGCUGACUUAACAAACAAACAAACAACAACAAAAACUGUAAACUGGGAUUUUUUCCUUACUGUGUUAGGCAAGGCUAAAUGAAUUUGAGCUUUCACAGACUGAAGAUUUUCUGAAGAUGCCAACCACAGUUCAUUCUCCUCCUCAAGAGGCAGAAAGAGAAGAUGCAGAAGUCUUGGAAGACCACAGUCCCCUUUUCAUCACUACUUGGUGUUCUUGCAGUCUCCUAACAGCAGAAGGAAACACCAUCCUGCCUCGGAGCUACUGAAUAGCCACAGCUGAGGAGUGCUGA
ensembl:lncRNA